rnacentral:SRP_RNA from 1 species
GCCCCGGCCGUGGUGGCAUGUGCCUGUAGUCCCAGCUACUUGGGAGGCUGAGGCUGGAGGAUCACUUGAGUCCAGGAGUUCUGGGCUGUAGUGUGCUGUGCCCAUAGGGUGUCCCCACUAAGUUCGACAUCAAUAUGGUGACCUUCUCGGAGGUGGGGGACCACCAGGUUGCCUAAGGAGCGGUGAACCAGCCUAGGUCAGAAACGGAGCAGGUCAAAACUCCCGUGCUGAUCAGUAGUGGAAUCACGCCUGUGAAUAGCCACUGCAUUCCAUCCUGAGCAACACAGUGAGACCCCAUCUUU